UACAGAGGUCCCAAGCGUUGUUCGGAUUUAUUGGGCGUAAAGGGUGCGUAGGCGGCGGAGUAGGUUGGGUGUGAAAUCCCGGGGCUCAACCUCGGAAUUGCAUUCAAUACUGCUUCGCUCGAGUACUGGAGAGGAGACUGGAAUUUACGGUGUAGCAGUGAAAUGCGUAGAUAUCGUAAGGAAGGCCGGUGGCGAAAGCGAGUCUCUGGACAGUUACUGACGCUGAUGCACGAAGGCCAGGGGAGCAAACGGG
rnacentral:rRNA from 1 species